AGUCGAGCGAAUGGAUUAAGAGCUUGCUCUUAUGAAGUUAGCGGCGGACGGGUGAGUAACACGUGGGUAACCUGCCCAUAAGACUGGGAUAACUCCGGGAAACCGGGGCUAAUACCGGAUAACAUUUUGAACCGCAUGGUUCGAAAUUGAAAGGCGGCUUCGGCUGUCACUUAUGGAUGGACCCGCGUCGCAUUAGCUAGUUGGUGAGGUAACGGCUCACCAAGGCAACGAUGCGUAGCCGACCUGAGAGGGUGAUCGGCCACACUGGGACUGAGACACGGCCCAGACUCCUACGGGAGGCAGCAGUAGGGAAUCUUCCGCAAUGGACGAAAGUCUGACGGAGCAACGCCGCGUGAGUGAUGAAGGCUUUCGGGUCGUAAAACUCUGUUGUUAGGGAAGAACAAGUGCUAGUUGAAUAAGCUGGCACCUUGACGGUACCUAACCAGAAAGCCACGGCUAACUACGUGCCAGCAGCCGCGGUAAUACGUAGGUGGCAAGCGUUAUCCGGAAUUAUUGGGCGUAAA
rnacentral:rRNA from 1 species